rnacentral:rRNA from 1 species
CCUACGGGUGGCAGCAGUGGGGAAUAUUGCACAAUGGGGGGAACCCUGAUGCAGCAACGCCGCGUGAAGGAAGACGGUUUUCGGAUUGUAAACUUCUAGCAAUAGGGAAGAAAGAAAUGACGGUACCGAAAUAAGAAGCGCCGGCUAACUACGUGCCAGCAGCCGCGGUAAUACGUAGGGGGCAAGCUUUAGCCGGAAUUACUGGCUGUAACGGGAGAGUAGGCGGCAAGGUAAGCGCUAUGUGAAGGCCUUCGGCUUAACCUGAGGAUUGCAUAACGAACUCUCUAGCUAGAGUACAGGGGCGGAAAGCGGCAUUCCUAGUGUAGCGGUGAAAUGCUUAGAUAUUAGGAAGACCACCAGUGGCGAAGGCGGCUUUCUGUACUGAAACUGCCGCUGAGGCUCGAACGCGUGGGGAGCGAACAGGAUUAGAUACCCCAGUAGUC